AGUCGAACGGAGAAUUUUAUUUCGGUAGAAUUCUUAGUGGCGAACGGGUGAGUAACGCGUAGGCAACCUACCCUUUAGACGGGGACAACAUUCCGAAAGGAGUGCUAAUACCGGAUGUGAUCAUCUUGCCGCAUGGCAGGAUGAAGAAAGAUGGCCUCUACAAGUAAGCUAUCGCUAAAGGAUGGGCCUGCGUCUGAUUAGCUAGUUGGUAGUGUAACGGACUACCAAGGCGAUGAUCAGUAGCCGGUCUGAGAGGAUGAACGGCCACAUUGGGACUGAGACACGGCCCAAACUCCUACGGGAGGCAGCAGUGGGGAAUCUUCCGCAAUGGACGAAAGUCUGACGGAGCAACGCCGCGUGAGUGAUGAAGGAUUUCGGUCUGUAAAGCUCUGUUGUUUAUGACGAACGUGCAGUGUGUGAACAAUGCAUUGCAAUGACGGUAGUAAACGAGGAAGCCACGGCUAACUACGUGCCAGCAGCCGCGGUAAUACGUAGGUGGCGAGCGUUGUCCGGAAUUAUUGGGCGUAAAGAGCAUGUAGGCGGCUUAAUAAGUCGAGCGUGAAAAUGCGGGGCUCAACCCCGUAUGGCGCUGGAAACUGUUAGGCUUGAGUGCAGGAGAGGAAAGGGGAAUUCCCAGUGUAGCGGUGAAAUGCGUAGAUAUUGGGAGGAACACCAGUGGCGAAGGCGCCUUUCUGGACUGUGUCUGACGCUGAGAUGCGAAAGCCAGGGUAGCGAACGGGAUUAGAUACCCCGGUAGUCCUGGCCGUAAACGAUGGGUACUAGGUGUAGGAGGUAUCGACCCCUUCUGUGCCGGAGUUAACGCA
rnacentral:rRNA from 1 species